AGUGAACGCUGGCGGUAGGCCUAACACAUGCAAGUCGAACGGCAGCACAGUAAGAGCUUGCUCUUACGGGUGGCGAGUGGCGGACGGGUGAGGAAUACAUCGGAAUCUACUUUUUCGUGGGGGAUAACGUAGGGAAUCUUACGCUAAUACCGCAUACGACCUACGGGUGAAAGCAGGGGAUCUUCGGACCUUGCGCGAUUGAAUGAGCCGAUGUCGGAUUAGCUAGUUGGCGGGGUAAAGGCCCACCAAGGCGACGAUCCGUAGCUGGUCUGAGAGGAUGAUCAGCCACACUGGAACUGAGACACGGUCCAGACUCCUACGGGAGGCAGCAGUGGGGAAUAUUGGACAAUGGGCGCAAGCCUGAUCCAGCCAUACCGCGUGGGUGAAGAAGGCCUUCGGGUUGUAAAGCCCUUUUGUUGGGAAAGAAAAGCAGCAGGUUAAUACCCCGCCGUUCUGACGGUACCCAAAGAAUAAGCACCGGCUAACUUCGUG
rnacentral:rRNA from 1 species